CCUACGGGAGGCAGCAGUGGGGAAUAUUGCACAAUGGGGGAAACCCUGAUGCAGCGACGCCGCGUGAAGGAUGAAGUAUUUCGGUAUGUAAACUUCUAUCAGCAGGGAAGAAAAUGACGGUACCUGACUAAGAAGCCCCGGCUAACUACGUGCCAGCAGCCGCGGUAAUACGUAGGGGGCAAGCGUUAUCCGGCUUUACUGGGUGGAAAGGGAGCGUAGACGGUAUGGCAAGUCUGAUGUGAAAACCCGGGGCUCAACCCCGGGACUGCAUUGGAAACUGCCGAACUAGAGUGUCGGAGAGGCAAGUGGAAUGCCUAGUGUAGCGGUGAAAUGCGUAGAUAUUAGGAGGAACACCAGUGGCGAAGGCGGCAUGCUGGACGAUGACUGACGUUGAGGCUCGAAAGCGUGGGGAGCAAACAGGAUUAGAUACCCGAGUAGUC
rnacentral:rRNA from 1 species